GAUCAUGGCUCAGGACGAACGCUGGCGGCGUGCCUAAUACAUGCAAGUCGAACGAGAGCGACCGGUGCUUGCACUGGUCAAUCUAGUGGCGAACGGGUGAGUAACACGUGGGUAACCUGCCCAUCCGAGGGGGAUAACAUCCGGAAACGGAUGCUAAAACUGCAUAGGUCUUCGAACCGCAUGGUUUGAAGAGGAAAAGAGGCGCAAGCUUCUGCUGAUGGAUGGACCCGCGGUG
rnacentral:rRNA from 1 species